CUGAUAUAUUGUACAAUAGUCCUCUGCAAAAAAAACUUGGGAAAAUUUGAAGGAGUUAUACAGGAAACAAAUUUUUGCCGAGGGUUCUUCUUCUAAUAUUGUUCCUGUCAUAGAUAAAGUCCGAAAGAUAAUUGGAGGUGAUUUAAACUGGUCUUCUUUACCAAUUUCUUAUCAAAGAACUAGUAUCAUGAAAGAACAGACUGAGGAAGAUCAUAAUACACUUACUGGCCAUAAUUGCAAACAUGAAACUGUAUUGAAAAUGUUGCAAUUGAACGAGGAAUAACAAAAGAAACGAUUGAGCAACCUUUACCAAUUACUGAAGAAAAACCAAUUGAAUGUUGAAAUGAAGAAGAUCAUACGGCAGUUAAGGAAACAAAAAUGAAAUACUUUGACGAAUAUGGAAUAA